UACGAAGGGGGCGAGCGUUGUUCGGAUUUACUGGGCGUAAAGGGCGCGUAGGCGGCCGAUCAAGUCGGGUGUGAAAGCCCCGGGCUCAACCUGGGAAUUGCAUUCGAGACUGCUCUGCUAGGGUGCGGAAGAGGGAAGCGGAAUUUCCGGUGUAGCGGUGAAAUGCGUAGAUAUCGGAAGGAACACCAGUGGCGAAAGCGGCUUCCUGGUCCAGCACCGACGUUCAGGCACGAAAGCGUGGGGAGCAAACAGG
rnacentral:rRNA from 1 species